GAACGAGAAAGGGGCUUCGGUCCCGAGUAAAGUGGCGCACGGGUGAGUAACACGUGGGUAACCUGCCUCUAAGAUUGGGAUAACUCGUCGAAAGAUGAGCUAAUACCGGAUAAGACCACAGUUCCUGCGGGGACAGGGGUCAAAGGUAGCCUAUGCUUGCAAGCUAUCACUUAGAGAUGGGCCUGCGUACCAUUAGCUAGUUGGUAGGGUAACGGCCUACCAAGGCAAAGAUGGUUAGCUGGUCUGAGAGGAUGAUCAGCCACACUGGAACUGAGACACGGUCCAGACUCCUACGGGAGGCAGCAGUGGGGAAUAUUGCGCAAUGGGCGAAAGCUUGACGCAGCAACGCCGCGUGAGUGAUGAAGGCCUUCGGGUCGUAAAGCUCUGUCGGAGGGAACGAAUGAUCCAGGGGUUAACAGCUCCCGGAAGUGACGGUACCCUCAAAGGAAGCACCGGCUAACUCUGUG
rnacentral:rRNA from 1 species